GGGAAUAUUGCGCAAUGGAGGAAACUCUGACGCAGUGACGCCGCGUAUAGGAAGAAGGUUUUCGGAUUGUAAACUAUUGUCGUGAGGGAAGAAAUUGACAGUACCUCAGGAGGAAGCUCCGGCUAACUAUGUGCCAGCAGCCGCGGUAAUACAUAGGGAGCAAGCGUUAUCCGGAUUUAUUGGGUGUAAAGGGUGCGUAGACGGGAAAUUAAGUUAGUUGUGAAAUCCCUCGGCUUAUCUGAGGAACUGCAACUAAAACUGGUUUUCUUGAGUACUGGAGAGGAAAGUGGAAUUCCUAGUGUAGCGGUGAAAUGCGUAGAUAUUAGGAGGAACACCAGUGGCGAAGGCGACUUUCUGGACAGUAACUGACGUUGAGGCACGAAAGUGUGGGGGGCAAAC
rnacentral:rRNA from 1 species